rnacentral:rRNA from 1 species
GACAGAGGAGCCAAGCGUUGUCCGGAUUGACUGGGCGUAAAGCGCACGCAGGCGGACGCGCGCGUGGGGUGUGAAAUCUGGCCGCUUAACGGCCAGGCGCCAUCCCAUACGGCGCGUCUGGAGUGAUGCAGAGGUCGAUGGAAUUGCCGGUGUAGUGGUGAAAUGCGUAGAGAUCGGCAGGAACACCCAGGGGGAAACCAGUCGACUGGGCAUCUACUGACGCUGAUGUGCGAGAGCGUGGGGAGCGAACCGG